rnacentral:rRNA from 1 species
GAUGAACGCUGGCGGCGUGCCUAAUACAUGCAAGUCGAGCGAACAGAUAAGGAGCUUGCUCCUUUGACGUUAGCGGCGGACGGGUGAGUAACACGUGGAUAACCUACCUAUAAGACUGGGAUAACUUCGGGAAACCGGCGCUAAUACCGGAUAACAUAUUGAACCGCAUGGUUCAAUAGUGAAAGGCGGCUUUGCUGUCACUUAUAGAUGGAUCCGCGCCGUAUUAGCUAGUUGGUAAGGUAACGGCUUACCAAGGCAACGAUACGUAGCCGACCUGAGAGGGUGAUCGGCCACACUGGAACUGGGACACGGUCCAGACUCCUACGGGAGGCAGCAGUAGGGAAUCUGCCGCAAUGGGCGAAAGCCUGACGGAGCAACGCCGCGUGAGUGAUGAAGGCCUUCGGAGCGUAAAACUCUGUUAUCAGGGAAGAACAAAUGUGUAAGUAACUGUGCACAUCGUGACGGUACCUGAUCAGAAAGCCACGGCUAACUACGUG